rnacentral:rRNA from 1 species
AGAGUUUGAUCCUGGCUCAGAAUCAACGCUGGCGGCGUGCCUAACACAUGCAAGUCGAACGAGAAAGCGGGGGCAACCCCGUGAGUAAAGUGGCGACCGGGUGAGUAACACGUGACUAACCUACCCUCUGGCGGGGAAUAACCUCGGGAAACCGGGGCUAAUACCGCAUAACAUCCGCGGGUGCAACUCCUGCGGAUCAAAGGAGCAAUUCGCCGGAGGAGGGGGUCGCGGCUGAUUAGCUAGUUGGCGGGGUAGCGGCCCACCAAGGCUUUGAUCAGUAGCCGGCCUGAGAGGGCGCACGGCCACACUGGAACUGAAACACGGUCCAGACUCCUACGGGAGGCAGCAGUGGGGAAUUUUGCGCAAUGGGGGGAACCCUGACGCAGCAACGCCGCGUGGAGGAUGAAGUCCCUUGGGACGUAAACUCCUUUCGACCGGGACGAAUAAUGACGGUACCGGUGGAAGAAGCCCCGGCUAACUACGUGCCAGCAGCCGCGGUAAUACGUAGGGGGCGAGCGUUGUCCGAAUUUACUGGGCGUAAAGCGCGCGUAGGCGGGCUAAUAAGUUGUGGGUGAAAUGCCGGGGCUCAACCUCGGCGCUGCCUGCAAGGCUGUUGGUCUUGAGGUAUGGAGGGGAAAGUGGAAUUCCUGGUGUAGCGGUGAAAUGCGUAGAUAUCAGGAGGAACACCGAUGGCGAAGGCAGCUUUCUGGCCAUAUCCUGACGCUGAGGUGCGAAAGCUAGGGGAGCGAACGGGAUUAGAUACCCCGGUAGUCCUAGCCGUAAACGAUGGAUA